rnacentral:rRNA from 1 species
CGAUGAAGCCCAGCUUGCUGGGUGGAUUAGUGGCGAACGGGUGAGUAACACGUGAGUAACCUGCCCUUAACUCUGGGAUAAGCCUGGGAAACUGGGUCUAAUACCGGAUAGGAGCGCCUACCGCAUGGUGGGUGUUGGAAAGAUUUAUCGGUUUUGGAUGGACUCGCGGCCUAUCAGCUUGUUGGUGAGGUAAUGGCUCACCAAGGCGACGACGGGUAGCCGGCCUGAGAGGGUGACCGGCCACACUGGGACUGAGACACGGCCCAGACUCCUACGGGAGGCAGCAGUGGGGAGUAUUGCACAAUGGGCGCAAGCCUGAUGCAGCGACGCCGCGUGAGGGAUGACGGCCUUCGGGUUGUAAACCUCUUUCAGUAGGGAAGAAGCGAAAGUGACGGUACCUGCAGAAGAAGCACCGGCUAACUACGUGCCAGCAGCCGCGGUAAUACGUAGGGUGCGAGCGUUAUCCGGAAUUAUUGGGCGUAAAGAGCUCGUAGGCGGUUUGUCGCGUCUGUCGUGAAAGUCCGGGGCUUAACCCCGGAUCUGCGGUGGGUACGGGCAGACUAGAGUGCAGUAGGGGAGACUGGAAUUCCUGGUGUAGCGGUGGAAUGCGCAGAUAUCAGGAGGAACACCGAUGGCGAAGGCAGGUCUCUGGGCUGUAACUGACGCUGAGGAGCGAAAGCAUGGGGAGCGAACAGGAUUAGAUACCCUGGUAGUCCAUGCCGUAAACGUUGGGCACUAGGUGUGGGGACCAUUCCACGGUUUCCGCGCCGCAGCUAACGCAAUAAGUGCCCCGCCUGGGGAGUACGGCCCCAAGCUUAAACCUCAAAGGAAUUGACGGGGGGCCCGCACAAGCGGCGGAGCAUGCGGAUUAAUUCGAAUGCAACGCGAAGAACCUUACCAAGGCCUGACAUGUUCUCGAUCGCCGUGGAGAUACGGUUUCCCCUUUGGGGCGGGUUCACAGGUGGUGCAUGGUUGUCGUCAGCUCGUGUCGUGAGAUGUUGGGUUAAGUCCCGCAACGAGCGCAACCCUCGGUUCCAUGUUGCCAGCACGUAAUGGUGGGGACUCAUGGGAGACUGCCGGGGUCAACUCGGAGGAAGGUGAGGACGACGUCAAAUCAUCAUGCCCCUUAUGUCUUGGGCUUCACGCAUGCUACAAUGGCCGGUACAAUGGGUUGCGAUACUGUGAGGUGGAGCUAAUCCCAAAAAGCCGGUCUCAGUUCGGAUUGGGGUCUGCAACUCGACCCCAUGAAGUCGGAGUCGCUAGUAAUCGCAGAUCAGCAACGCUGCGGUGAAUACGUUCCCGGGCCUUGUACACACCGCCCGUCAAGUCACGAAAGUUGGUAACACCCGAAGCCGGU